rnacentral:lncRNA from 1 species
AUUAUUUUACUUUGUAACCAUCUGCUCAGGCCCGUCGGAAUUGGAGUUACUCGGUGUGUUUUAAUUUUACUCUUUUUUCUGUCAUUUCUCCCUGAGUUGUCUCAAAUUUAAAGAGUGAAACUUGACUUCUGCUCAUAGUUGGUGAGAAUUUUUUACAGACAUGUCUGAAUAAAAUCUUACCUCUUGUCAGGUCAAAUGUUAAAUCUUAUACGAAAUAGUCGCUCAGUCUUCUUGUUUCGUGAUUUUUCCAUUCUCUCGCGCUCCAUUCCACCCUCUACCAGAUAGCUUUAAGUCUUCAUUCAGUCACAGAUACAUUGUAAGCUCUUCAAACUAUUAUCUGUGAGCACAAACGCGUUCUAUGCAGUGCUUGAUGAUCUAAUGCGAGGGAAGCACAAGAGUAGAAAAAACAAGAAAAAAACUGCUAACUAUGUUACAAAGAAAGCUAAAGUUUCACUAUCAUGGGCUAAGUACUUCCCUACUUUUAACAAGUUUGUGAUCUCCGCGAUGAGUCGCAGCAAUGCCUCAUGCAGCUCAACGCCGCAAAAAUUUGAUGAGACUGUAACAGUUACAAGUAUGGACAGCGAUGAUGAUGUUGUCAUUCUUGACAUGCCUGAGAGAGACGAUGUUCAGGUACUUUAUGACAGCCACCAACAGAAUGAUCAGCGCCGAUAUUUUCUUAAAAACGAAGAGGAUUUCCAGUCCCAGAGAACUCUCUCUGCUGCUGAAAUCAAGGAAGCAGCCAAGCAAGGGAAAGAAAAGUAUGAGGAAAUUCGUCAAGAACAAUUUACAAGUUUGGCGAAGAAAUAUUUGCAAAUGGUAAGUUCUCAAUUUUUCCUUACUUCAUCAAGAGACAUAUUUUAAGAGGAGCUCAUGACUCUUUUCAUUUUAGUAAAAGUAAGUCAAUUAAAGAUACAUAAAUGAGAGCCGCUUUUACAGCACUAUUUGGUGCUCUGCAACACUCAUAUUUAGGUCCCCAUCCUUUAACUUAUAAAAACAAAAUAGUUUAAUGCUCGAGCAUUAAACUCCUCAGAGAUCUCCUCAACCCCUU